rnacentral:rRNA from 1 species
UAGGCGGAAUGUUGCGUUAAGGGAAAGGUCGCUUUCAAACCCCUGUGACUGCACGCAUGCUAAGUUAGUCAUGAAUUGGCUGUUCGGUUAACUCGCCGAAAAUCUCUCCAUGGAGGGUGUCAGACCCGUGUGGGCGUGCAGUCGUUGGGGCAAGGCUUUUCCCCGAGAGUCGCGUUGUUUGAACAUGCAGCGCUAAGCAGGUCGUAAACUCGAUCUAAGGCUAAAUAUUUCCACAGAACCGAUAGUAAACAAGUACCGUGAGGGAAAGUUGAAAAGGACUCUGCAAAGAGAGUUAAAAGACCGU